rnacentral:tRNA from 1 species
AAUUAUAUAUUCAAUUAUGAUAUUAAAUUGCAAAUUUAACGGUGGGAUUCCCUAUAAUUA